CAUAGCUGUGAUGAAUAACACUUUGGCAGGGAGAAGGGCAGCAUUACUGUUUUUAGGGUGGAAAGACAGUUUUUACUUUUCAUAUGUACAGUGCCUGGCACGAUGGAGACUCAGCCUCAGUUGGACUUGCUAGCCACUUAUAUUUAUGUCAGGGUCUUUGCUAGAUUCCAGGCAGAAUGGUGUCAAAAGGGAAAAAUCACUUUACCAUGUCAACAAUACUGGCACUCUAACUAAAAUCAACAACUCUUAACAAGUAGGUCUAAGAUCAGAGCACCUUAUUGUCAUUUGAAUUCUCAGUAGCAUAUUUUAUGUGAUGCCUCCAUAUUUGAGAUUUAACAAAUUGGCAAUUCUUGAAAUAAAAGAACAG